rnacentral:rRNA from 1 species
ACGGGUGAGUAAUGUCUGGGGAUCUGCCCGAUAGAGGGGGAUAACCACUGGAAACGGUGGCUAAUACCGCAUAAUGUCGCAAGACCAAAGAGGGGGACCUUCGGGCCUCUCACUAUCGGAUGAACCCAGAUGGGAUUAGCUAGUAGGCGGGGUAACGGCCCACCUAGGCGACGAUCCCUAGCUGGUCUGAGAGGAUGACCAGCCACACUGGAACUGAGACACGGUCCAGACUCCUACGGGAGGCAGCAGUGGGGAAUAUUGCACAAUGGGCGCAAGCCUGAUGCAGCCAUGCCGCGUGUAUGAAGAAGGCCUUCGGGUUGUAAAGUACUUUCAGCGGGGAGGAAGGCGAUAAGGUUAAUAAUCUUGUCGAUUGACGUUACCCGCAGAAGAAGCACCGGCUAACUCCGUGCCAGCAGCCGCGGUAAUACGGAGGGUGCAAGCGUUAAUCGGAAUUACUGGGCGUAAAGCGCACGCAGGCGGUCUGUUAAGUCAGAUGUGAAAUCCCCGGGCUUAACCUGGGAACUGCAUUUGAAACUGGCAGGCUUGAGUCUCGUAGAGGGGGGUAGAAUUCCAGGUGU